rnacentral:rRNA from 1 species
GACGGAGGAUGCAAGCGUUAUCCAGAAUGAUUGGGCGUAAAGCGUCCGCAGGUGGCAGUUCAAGUCUGCUGUCAAAGACCGGGGCUUAACUUCGGAAAGGCAGUGGAAACUGAACAGCUAGAGUAUGGUAGGGGCAGAGGGAAUUCCUGGUGUAGCGGUGAAAUGCGUAGAGAUCAGGAAGAACAUCGGUGGCGAAGGCGCUCUGCUGGACCAUAACUGACACUCAGGGACGAAAGCUAGGGGAGCGAAUGGG